GAAAGUAUAGCUCAGUGGUAGAGUGUGUGCUUAGCAUGCGCAAGGGCCUGGAUUCAAUCCCCAGUACCUCUG
rnacentral:tRNA from 1 species